rnacentral:pre_miRNA from 1 species
AUGUAGUACAAUUUGUCUUUAGUAGUAAAUUGCAAUUGAAAAAAAAAAAAGCCUAGGUAGUUUUACUUUGAAGUUAAGCAUGUUAU